UACGUAGGGUGCAAGCGUUGUCCGGAAUUAUUGGGCGUAAAGAGCUCGUAGGCGGUCUGUCGCGUCGGCUGUGAAAUCCCGAGGCUCAACCUCGGGUCUGCAGUCGAUACGGGCAAACUAGAGUAUUGUAGGGGAGACUGGAAUUCCUGGUGUAGCGGUGAAAUGCGCAGAUAUCAGGAGGAACACCGGUGGCGAAGGCGGGUCUCUGGGCAAUAACUGACGCUGAGGAGCGAAAGCGUGGGGAGCGAACAGG
rnacentral:rRNA from 1 species